UUCCUCUAGUUAGGAACUUCCUUAAAACCACACACAACAUAACAAAUGUAUCCACGAGUCUGACUCUGGGGAUGUAGACAAAAAAAAGCUUCAUUGCUAAAAAUCCCGAUUCCCGAAGUAACCCUUUAUUAAGGUUCGGUUUUUUUUAGGUAUGAACUUCCCAAACAUCCCAGAUAGCACUGACCAUAGGGGAAAGUACGGCAGCCUAAUGGUGUCUUGAACAUAGAAAGGAACAACAAGGAAGACAAUUACCGGGUUUCAACCGCAGAAUUUCAACACAUUCAACCUUUUUCUUUUAAAAUUAAAUCAUUGAAGCAAGCAAGACAGUACCGCCUUGUGAUAGUAGGCCAAACUGAACGACUGGGCUUGUAUGUGAGGGCGAGUCUGUUCUGUCAACCAUGGCCAACAAUGUGGAGGAUAUCGAGAACAACAUGGUGACUGAGGCUCCAGUACCAACCCAGAACCAGCACCCUGAGCCUGGGGUGACGGGGGUGCGGUCCAGGGGUGGAGGGGGUGGGGCGGAACAGAACGGACAGGCUCCCCCACAACGCACCCCCCAGGUGGUAGAGAGUGAGGAAGACGAAGAUGAGGAGCUGACGCUGAAGUACGGGGCCAAACACGUCAUCAUGCUGUUCGUCCCUGUCACGCUCUGCAUGGUGGUCGUCGUGGCAACCAUCAAGUCCGUCAGCUUCUACACCCAGAACGAUGGACAGAGGCUGAUAUACACCCCAUUCCCCGAGGACACAGACACAAUAGGGCAGCGAGCCCUCAACUCAGUCCUCAACGCCACCAUCAUGAUCAGUGUCAUCAUAGUCAUGACCAUGGUGCUGGUGCUGCUAUACAAGUACCGCUGCUACAGGGUGAUCCAAGGCUGGCUGUUCCUCUCCUCUCUACUCCUCCUGUUCUUCUUCUCCUUCAUAUACCUCAAAGAAGUGUUCAAGACGUACAACGUGGCGAUGGACUGGAUCACCUUGGCUGUGAUCGUCUGGAACUUCGGCGUGGUAGGGAUGAUCUGUAUCCACUGGAAGGGUCCUCUCCGUCUGCAGCAGGCCUACCUCAUCAUGAUCUCUGCUCUCAUGGCUCUGGUCUUCAUCAAGUACCUUCCUGAGUGGACCGCCUGGCUCAUCCUGGCCGUCAUAUCGGUCUAUGAUCUGCUAGCAGUGCUCUGCCCCAAAGGUCCUCUACGUAUCCUAGUGGAGACAGCUCAGGAGAGGAACGAACCCAUCUUCCCUGCUCUCAUCUACUCCUCGACCAUGGUGUGGCUGGUCAACAUGGCAGACACUGGCCUCGGACACAGACCAAUGACCAGGAAGAACUCAACAGAGGCUCCCAUCACUCAGGUUGAGAGUCAAUCCCCAACCCUGGCUCUAGGCCCGGCCCCUCUCAGCCCCCCGGAGGAUGACGGAGGGUUCACCCCUAACUGGAUGGGGCAUCAGGAGCAUCAGCUGGGACCCCUUCAGUCCACAGACGAGACCCGACGGGAGAUCCAACAACUCCCCUCUGCCAGACCACCCGUAAUGGACGAUGAUGACGAGGAGAGGGGAGUGAAGCUGGGUCUAGGAGACUUCAUCUUCUACAGCAUGCUGGUGGGGAAGGCCUCUGCUGCAGCUAGUGGAGACUGGAACACCACCCUGGCCAGCUUCGUAGCCAUACUCAUCGGCCUGUGUUUGACUCUUCUUCUCCUGGCCAUCUUUAAGAAGGCCCUCCCUGCCCUUCCCAUCUCCAUCUUCUUUGGCUUGGUGUUCUACUUCGCUACAGACAACCUGGUCAGACCUUUUAUGGACCAGCUGGCUCUGCACCAGUUCUACAUUUAGCAGGAUGUUCCCUUGCUCUCGCCGCCCCACGGCAGCUGCCAUCAUCAACACCAGGGGUGUAUUCAUUAGUACACAAAAUAGCGAAACGUUUUUGCAACGAAAACAUGUUUUUUUUUUUUUUUUUUUUUUUUUUUGCCUAAAUCCGGUAGGUUCCCUCCCCCUUUUUGUCCUGUUUUGCUGAGCCAGAGUUCAACCUCUAACAAGGGGACCAGGGGCAUCUCCAGUCCAGCCCCCUGACUGAAGUUCAAUGGUCGUUUUUGGAUCUGCUUUUUGUUUCUGGGCUUGGUGGGAUGGGAUGGAGG